AAGGGAGACCUAAUUCGGGUAUAAGACGAAAAAAUAGUAGUCGAAACCAAGAAUCAAUCCCAAAAGGUCGGAGCGAGGCAUGAGGCUUUCAAACUAGGUUCUGGGUUCAUAAAAGACCUGAAUCAGGAACAAGGGCUAUUAGCUCAGGUGGUUAGAGCGCACCCCUGAUAAGGGUGAGGUCCCUGGUUCGAGUCCAGGAUGGCCCACCUGCACAGGUGGCAAAAACAAAAGAAGCGAGGAAUCAGCACCUUAUCUUACUUAUAUAGUAAGAGAGAGUGCUGGCUCUGAGUAAAGAGUCCAGAGGAACCUUGAAAACUGCAUAGAGCUAGGUGAAAAAGCCAAAAAAGAAGACCGCAAGGUCAAGCUAAUAAGGGCUAACGGUGGAUACCUAGGCAC
rnacentral:tRNA from 1 species